rnacentral:sRNA from 1 species
CUUUAUGACAUGUGACCAGCUGCCUCAUGCUCCUGCUGACCUGCUUUUCCUACCACAGUGGGCUCUAUACUGUUGAACUAUAAAGCAAAAUCAACCCUUUCUCCCAAAAACAAACCCACAAAACCCCACUCAGGAUUAUUCUUCCAGUGUUUGAAAAUCCUUACUGAUUGAGCAAAGAAUCCACUCAUGUCAUUGUCCAACAGCUCAAGUUCUGACUCACAGUCUUGUUUCACUUUUGCCUUGUCCAUUUACAUAAACUGUGUUGUCACCAAGGACUCACAUUGAAGCUACGCCCAGGUCCCCUAUGACUAUAGACUGAGUGCAGAGGAAGGAUGCAGCAAAAAUGAACCAGAGCACUGUCAUGACCCCAGCUGUGUAGACUGUCCUAUAUGCACCGCACACCGCUAUCAGGUAUACAUACCCUUUGCAUUUAUAAGAAAGGUUGCUCUCACAUCUGUGAGGCUGAGGUAGGCUGAUAGACACACCUGAGGCUUCCAUCAACCCAUGAUGGAGUCAGAGUCCACUAGUGAAGGAGCUGUUUGACCCGCAAGGAAAAGGUGUGGCUUGGUACAACUCAGUCAGGGCAGGAGACUGUGGGAAAUGUGUCCUCAGAACACAGAAUAAGUUUUCAGUAAGAGGUUUUAGUCAACCAUAUUCCUUAUAUGUAUUAUUUAUUUUUUGAGAUUGUUUUCUAAAGAUUUAAUUAUUCAAUUAUAUUUAUUAUUUUAAGUGUAUGAGUGUUUUGCCUGCAUAUAUGUAUGUAUGUACAUCAUGUGAAGGCCUGGUACCUGGAAAGGUCAGAAAAGAACAUCGGAUCCCCUAUAGCUGGAGUUACGGUUUUAAGCUACUAUGUGGGUGCUUGGAAUUGAACCUGGGGCCUCUUCAAGAGCAAUGAGUGCUCUUAACCACUGAGCCAACUCUCUGGCCCUGAGAAUUUCAAGUGUUGUAUUUUGGUUACAUGCCCUUCCCCUUCCCAGCUCCUCUCAGAUCCAGUCCCCGUCCAUACCUAGCCAACUUUGUGUGCUUCUCUUUGUUCUGUUUAUAAGCUCAUCCAUUCCAAUUACUGCUGGCUAUAGAUUUUUGGGUGUGUGGCCAUUCACUAGCCCGUGUUCAACAGAGACCAAUGUCUUUGAAGAAAAUGGAGUCUCCUUUGCUCAGCAGAUAUCAAUUACCAAUAGUUCCUCAGCUAGGGAUGGGACUUCACGCCUAUCUCUUCCCUCUAUGAGGGCAUCUUGUCUGGCUUGAGCUUGCAUAGGUCUUGUGGGUGCUAUCACAGUUGUGGAAAAUUCAUGUGUGCGACCACCCUGUUGUGUCUGGAAAAUGUGCUUCACUGUAUCUGCUGCCUCUGGCUCUUACAAUCUAUGUACCUCCUCUUACACGAUGACCCCUGAAUCUUGUCUAGAAAAGGGUGUGACACAUAUGCCACUCUGCCACCCGUGAUACUUGAACUAAGUUUUCUUCAAGACAUAUUCCAAUGGCCUUCAUACCAGCACUGAAAAUGAUACUGAGGGGAGCCUGCCCUGUGGAUUUCUGUGGGAUGAUGAUGUGAGCUGGGUACCAGUCGCAGAAGGGAGAUGCAGAUCAGAAGAAUGUGUAAGAGAGGACCAAAACAUCUGAGGCAGAUGAGGAGGUACAGGAAACGCUUGCUACACUGUCACUGGAUGCAUGAGAUACAGGGAGAGCUACAGUCCAGCCAGGAAGAUGACCAAUAACAUGCUCGCCUGGACUUUAGAUUUGGAUUUGGUGGAGAGCUGAUCCCACGUUUUAGAAGCAUUGUCACAACUUCAUCUACCUGAUGGAUUCUUACUGCAUGUGAGUAUCAAGGAAUGGAGAACACUGAGCGGGGAGACUCAGGGGAUCCCUAAAGAAAUCAAAACAAGUCGUCUUUGGAACAAUCUACUUCACUCUAAAUUCCUUUGGAUUCCUGCAAUUGAACUGAGUCUAGCAUAAAGUUAUGGCCAAGUGCAAAGCAGAUGUAAGUGAGAGUCAAGGGGCAGCAAGAAGCAAGAUGAUGCCUAAGAAGUCAGGUGCUGGAGUUCCCAUAAGAAUUUGUAGGAGAUAACAUACAGCAGGAAAUGGCGUUUUCAGAGGGAACCAAUCAUGUUAUGCCCACCACUCUCCUGUGUACCUUCAAUUCACUCUCGACUGUGCUAGAGUCUGGCUUCUAUCAAUACUGUGCUGAGGACAUAUUCAUUGCCAAGAUUAUCAGAGUUCAUCUAGCCAUCCUCACCUACCAGGUCCUCCAAACACUGUCUUUUUUCAUGUACUUGCCUACAAGCACUGCAUCUCAAACAGCCUGUGUAAAACGGAACUCUCAUCUGCAACUCCUACCACUUCCCAUAACUUGUUCCUUCCUGCCUUUCAUCACUUAAGCCUAAAGUUCUUGAGAGAGCUUGACUUCAGGUAGAAUAUAACUUAGUUAACACUUCUUCGAACUCUGAGGGUGUACAAUGAUGAGGUUUUGGGGAGUUUUAGAAAAUACACCUUAAGGGCUGGAGAGAUGGCUCAGCGGCUAAGAGCACCCGACUACUCUUCCAGAGGUC